rnacentral:rRNA from 1 species
GACGAACCGUACGAACGUUAUUCGGAAUCACUGGGCUUAAAGGGUGCGUAGGCUGCGCAGAAAGUUGGGUGUGAAAUCCCUCGGCUUAACCGAGGAACUGCGCCCAAAACUACUGUGCUCGAGGGAGAUAGAGGUGAGCGGAACUUAGGGUGGAGCGGUGAAAUGCGUUGAUAUCCUAAGGAACACCGGUGGCGAAAGCGGCUCACUGGAUCUCUUCUGACGCUGGGGCACGAAAGCUAGGGUAGCGAACGGG